AGGAUGAACGCUGGCGGCAGGCUUAACACAUGCAAGUCGAACGCGUGUAGCAAUACACGAGUGGCGCACGGGUGAGUAACGCGUGGAUAUCUGCCUUUUGGUUCGGAAUAACCCCGGGAAACUGGGGCUAAUACCGGAUGGUUCCUACGGGAUAAAGAUUUAUCGCCAAAAGAUGAGUCCGCGUACGAUUAGCUAGUUGGUGAGGUAAUGGCUCACCAAGGCGACGAUCGUUAGCUGGUCUGAGAGGACGAUCAGCCACACUGGGACUGAGACACGGCCCAGACUCCUACGGGAGGCAGCAGUGGGGAAUAUUGGACAAUGGGGGCAACCCUGAUCCAGCCAUGCCGCGUGAGUGAUGAAGGCCUUCGGGUUGUAAAGCUCUUUUGGCGGGGACGAUGAUGACGGUACCCGCAGAAUAAGCCCCGGCUAACUUCGUGCCAGCAGCCGC
rnacentral:rRNA from 1 species